rnacentral:rRNA from 1 species
UACAGAGGUCUCAAGCGUUGUUCGGAAUCACUGGGCGUAAAGCGUGCGUAGGCUGUUUCGUAAGUCGUGUGUGAAAGGCGCGGGCUCAACCCGCGGACGGCACAUGAUACUGCGAGACUAGAGUAAUGGAGGGGGAACCGGAAUUCUCGGUGUAGCAGUGAAAUGCGUAGAUAUCGAGAGGAGCACUCGUGGCGAAGGCGGGUUCCUGGACAUUAACUGACGCUGAGGCACGAAGGCCAGGGGAGCGAAAGGG